AACGAACGUUGGCGGCGUGGAUUAGGCAUGCAAGUCGAACGAAUCCUACUGCUGUAGCAAUACAGUGGUGGGGGAAGUGGCGAAAGGGGCAGUAAUGCAUGGGUAACCUACCCCGGGGACGUGGAUAGCCUUCCUAACGGAAGGGUAAUACACGGCGAUCUGUGCGGGAGACAUCUCCUGUCCAGGAAAUGAAUUUCGCCUCGGGAGGGGCUCAUGUCGUAUUAGCUUGUUGGUGAGGUAACGGCUCACCAAGGCAAAGAUGCGUAGCGGGUGUGAGAGCACGACCCGCGCCACUGGCACUGAGACACUGGCCAGACUCUUACGGGAGGCUGCAGUCGAGGAUCUUUGGCAAUGGGCGAAAGCCUGACCAAGCGACGCCGCGUGUGCGAU
rnacentral:rRNA from 1 species